rnacentral:rRNA from 1 species
CCUACGGGAGGCAGCAGUGGGGAAUAUUGGGCAAUGGGCGCAACCCUGACCCAGCAACGCCGCGUGAGGGAAGAAGGCUUUCGGGUUGUAAACUUCUUUUCUCAGGGACGAAGAAAGUGACGGUACCUGAGCAAUAAGCCACGGCUAACUACGUGCCAGCAGCCGCGGUAAUACGGAGGUGGCAAGCGUUAUCCGGAUUUAGUGGGUGUAAAGGGCGUGUAGGCGGGAGCGCAAGUCAGAUGUGAAAACUCAGGGCUCAACCCUGAGCCUGCAUUUGAAACUGUGUUUCUUGAGUGCUGGAGAGGCAAGCGGAAUUCCGUGUGUAGCGGUGAAAUGCGUAGAUAUACGGAGGAACACCAGUGGCGAAGGCGGAUUGCUGGACAGUAACUGACGCUGAGGCGCGAAAGCGUGGGGAGCAAACAGGAUUAGAUACCCGGGUAGUC